rnacentral:rRNA from 1 species
CUACGGGUUGCACCAGUAAGGAAUAUUGCGCAAUGGAGGCAACUCUGACGCAGCCAUGCCGCGUGCAGGAAGAAGGCCUUAUGGGUCGUAAACUGCUUUUAUUUAGGAAUAAACCCCCGAACGUGUUCGGGGCUGAAGGUACUAAACGAAUAAGCACCGGCUAACUCCGUGCCAGCAGCCGCGGUAAUACGGAGGGUGCAAGCGUUAUCCGGAUUUAUUGGGUUUAAGGGGUGCGCAGGCGGGCGAUUAAGUCAGUGGUGAAAUCCCGGGGCUCAACUCCGGAACUGCCAUUGAUACUGAUAGUCUUGAGUUUGGUUGAAGUGGGCGGAAUGUAGCAUGUAGCGGUGAAAUGCAUAGAUAUGCUACAGAACACCAAUCGCGAAGGCAGCUCACUAAGCCAAAACUGACGCUCAUGCACGGAAGCGUGGGGAUCAAACAGGAUUAGAUACCCGGGUAGUC